AAUGUCACCAUCAAAGCCCUUUCCUGGCUCAGGGAAAUAUUCAGGAUAGCCGUAAGAAAACAUUGAUUUCAAUCUUCAGGUCACAUUACAUAAACUUCAUGCUGUGGUCAUUUGCAAAUAAAGGUUUCAAGUUUUGCCUCGAAUAAAACUUUCACAAAGUCCUGCCGACAACUUUUCUCUGCGUGGCCAAUCACGAAAACCAAAACGUCAAACGUCAAAUAGACAUCCACAUCGCUCGUUUGGUGAGCAAGGCCGAGGAUCGGGCCAGAGACUCGCACGGUUACCUGGGUUGAGAACUCGCCCAGACAUCUUUCUCAAAGUUCGGGGUGGCAGGAACGGAUGCCAGCGUGUCCGAUUCCCCAUCACCACCACCACCGCCCGCUCAGCCUUGACAAUAAAACACAACCUCCAUGAUGCUCACGCGUGGCUACAGAGCACGGCUCAUUGCCAUUGAUAAGAAAUGCUGCAGCUGUGGGUAGCGAGAGACAUUGACACUCCCUGAUGGACGCUGUUGGUCGCCUCUGGCCUCUCCUGUCCAGGACUGGGUUGUAACAGCGGUAGGGGGUUGCGUUUCUCCCAUUCUGCCCAUCGCCACCAUCGCCCGCUCAGCCUUGACAACGAUAAACACGACCUCCGUAUGUCCACGUGUGGGCUACACAGCCAAGGCUCACUGCCAUUGAUAAAUAAUGUCGCCGUGUGGGAAGUACAAGAGACAUUGACACUCCCUGAUGGACGGUGUUGACGUUGCAUCAAGGUUGCGUUGAGUAGCACCGAGGCUGUGUGGAGUUCCAGUAACGAAUUGGGUGGAGUUGAACAGAGACGUCUGCGCUAGGCACAACUGCUGGGGUCCUGUAACAUAGAACGUUAGGAGCCCCUCCCCCCACCCACCACCCCAGAGCCACAAUGGCCAACACUGCACACCGCUUGCUAGGAAUGUCACCAUCAACGCCCUUUCCUGGCUUAGAGAAAUAUUCAGGAUAGCCGUAAGAAAACAUUGAUUUCAAUCGUCAGGUCACAUUACGUAAACUUCAUGCCGUGGUUAUUCGCUAAUUAGGUUUCAAGUUUUGCCUCGAAUAAAACUUUCACAAAGUCCUGCCGGCAACAUUUCCGCGUUUCCAAUUACGAAAACUAAUUGCUGGUUUGGUGAGUAAGGCCAAGGAUCGGGCCGGAGACUCGCACGGUUACCUGGGUUGAGAACUCGCCCAGGAGACAUCUUUCUCAAAGUUGGGGGUGGCGGAUGCCAGCGUGUCCGAUUCCCCAUCACCACCACCACCCGCUCAGCCUUGACAAUAAUAAAACACAAUCUCCAUGAUGCUCACGCGUGGCUACAGAGCACGGCUCAUUGCCAUUGAUAAUAAAGAAUGCUGCUGCUGUGGGUAGCGAGAGACAUUGACACUCCCUGAUGGAAGCCGUUGGUCGUCUCUGGCCUCUCCUGUCCAGGACUGGGUUGUAACAGCAUAGGAGGUUGCGUUUCUCCCAUUCCGCCCAGCGCCACCAUCACCCACUCAGCCUUGACAAUGAUAAACACGACCUCCGUAUGUCCACGUGUGGGCUACACAGCCAAGGCUCAUUGCCAUUGAUAAAUAAUGUUGCCGUGUGGGAAGUACAAGAGUCAUUGACACUCCCUGGUGGAUGGUAAAGGCCGUACGGCUUCUCCCGCCUUCCACCCAGGGCUGGGUUGGUGU